AGAACACGCCGCCGCCCCCACAUCACACACCGCCGCUCCAACCAUCUUCCCGCGCGCCACCGGAUCUCGCCGCCACACUUCCGCCAUGGUCACGCUCGCUCUGAGCCCCAACUGCCACUGCCGCUGCAGUCCUGGGCCACCGUCUACCGCAGUCCCCAGCUUGCUGCCGCCGAAGGAGCGGUCAACCCAGCAACGCUUCUCUGUGGUAACGUGUGCAUGAUUAGUCUGAAUGCUUGCAUGUGAAGUGCCAACAAAGAUAUAUAGCAACAGCCGGUCGAGUCAAAUGAGGCUUGGUGGAGUGAGAAAUAAAGCUAAUCACAAGCAAAAGUGAAUGACAGAGAUGGUGUGCUGAAUGGAGCCUAAACCUGCUGAUGGAAAGAUAUAUAGCAACUAUUCUUUACACGUUCUACUGAUAUGAGACGUGUGUGUCUACGGAUUUGAGGGAUUUGCAAUAAAAUUCCAAUUUUUGUCCUUCUACGUCCAUGAGCUAAUUUCUGGGUGUGCUGCUUGUGUGAUGUGAUGUACCGUAUGCUGUAUAGAUUUUUAUGAAGUUCCUCUUGUGAACCGAA